rnacentral:rRNA from 1 species
UACGGAAGGCAGCAGUGGGGAAUAUUGCACAAUGGGCGCAAGCCUGAUGCAGCCAUGCCGCGUGUAUGAAGAAGGCCUUCGGGUUGUAAAGUACUUUCAGCGGGGAGGAAGGCGAUGCGGUUAAUAACCGCGUCGAUUGACGUUACCCGCAGAAGAAGCACCGGCUAACUCCGUGCCAGCAGCCGCGGUAAUACGGAGGGUGCAAGCGUUAAUCGGAAUUACUGGGCGUAAAGCGCACGCAGGCGGUCUGUUAAGUCAGAUGUGAAAUCCCCGGGCUUAACCUGGGAACUGCAUUUUGAAACUGGCAGGCUUGAGUCUUGUAGAGGGGGUAGAAUUCCAGGUGUAGCGGUGAAAUGCGUAGAGAUCUGGAGGAAUACCGGUGGCGAAGGCGGCCCCUGGACAAAGCUGACGCUCAGGUGCGAAAGCGUGGGGAGCAAACAGGAUUAGGAUACC